rnacentral:rRNA from 1 species
GACGAACGCUGGCGGCGUGCUUAACACAUGCAAGUCGAACGGAAAGGCCUGCUUUCCCUUGUGGAUUGCGGGUACUCGAGUGGCGAACGGGUGAGUAACACAUGAGUGAUCUGCCCCCAACUUGGGUAUAAGCCUGGGAAACUGGGUCUAAUUCCCGAUAGGACUGCAGGGUGGUGCCUGUGGUGGAAAACGAUUUUCUAGUGGUUGGGGAUGAGCUCGCGGCCUAUCAGCUUGUUGGUGGGGUAAUGGCCUACCAAGGCGGCGACGGGUAGCCGGCCUGAGAGGGUGGACGGCCACAUUGGGACUGAGAUCCGGCCCAGACUCCUACGGGAGGCAGCAGUGGGGAAGAUUGCACAAUGGGCGGAAGCCUGAUGCAGCGACGCCGCGUGGGGGAUGACGGCCUUCGGGUUGUAAACUCCUUUCGACCGCGAGGAAGCCACCUGGUUGGAAGGGUGGUGACGGUAGUGGUAGAAGAAGCACCGGCUAACUACGUG